GGACGUUUGUCUCCCUGCCUUAGAGCCGUUUGCCUUUUGAAUGCGGUUUGAAUUGCUGGGCUACAUGUGAGCCUGUCUGGAGAUGGAUCAGAAGAAAGAAGCUCUUGCUGUACAAGAAAAGCCUGACCUUGAAAAGAAGAGAAGAGAAGGGAAGCGGAAGCCUUGCUUCAAAGCAUGGCUUUAACUCCUGCUGCUCCUACGGAUGGAUCAGAGGAAAGAAGCUCUUGCUGUACAAGAAAAGCCUGACCUUGAAAAGAAGAGAAGGGAAGCAGAAGCCUUGCUUCAAAGCAUGGCUUUAACUCCUGCUGCUCCUAUGGGAUCCUGCAGGUGAGAAGAGGACUGUGUACGGCAGCGCAUCUUCUUUGUGUCACCAGCUUGUUUGACACCAGAGCGUGUGGCAUUUGAAGUCUGAACUCAGCUACCCCCUGGAAACCGUGCCGUGAGAUGUUUUCCACU